AUUGAACGCUGGCGGCAUGCCUUACACAUGCAAGUCGAACGGCAGCACGGGAGCAAUCCUGGUGGCGAGUGGCGAACGGGUGAGUAAUAUAUCGGAACGUGCCCAGUCGUGGGGAUAACGUAGCGAAAGCUACGCUAAUACCGCAUACGAUCUAUGGAUGAAAGCGGGGGAUCGCAAGACCUCGCGCGAUUGGAGCGGCCGAUAUCAGAUUAGGUAGUUGGUGAGGUAAAGGCUCACCAAGCCGACGAUCUGUAGCUGGUCUGAGAGGACGACCAGCCACACUGGGACUGAGACACGGCCCAGACUCCUACGGGAGGCAGCAGUGGGGAAUUUUUGGACAAUGGCGCAAGCCUGAUCCAGCAAUGCCGCGUGCAGGAUGAAGG
rnacentral:rRNA from 1 species